GGGCGCUUAGCUCAGUUGGUUAGAGCCGACCGCUCAUAACGGCCUGGUCGCAAGUUCGAGUCUUGCAGCGCCUACCA
rnacentral:tRNA from 1 species